AACGAAGUGGUUGAUGCCAUGCUUCCAAGAAAAGCUUCUAAGCUUCAGAUAACCAGGAACCGUACCCCAAACCGACACAGGUGGUUGGGUAGAGAAUACCAAGGCGCUUGAGAGAACUCGGGUGAAGGAACUAGGCAAAAUGGCACCGUAACUUCGGGAGAAGGUGCGCCGAUGAGGGUGAAGCAUUUACUGCGUAAGCUCACGUCGGUCGAAGAUACCAGGCCGCUGCGACUGUUUAUUAAAAACACAGCACUCUGCAAACACGAAAGUGGACGUAUAGGGUGUGACGCCUGCCCGGUGCCGGAAGGUUAAUUGAUGGGGUUAGCUAACGCGAAGCUCUUGAUCGAAGCCCCGGUAAACGGCGGCCGUAACUAUAACGGUCCUAAGGUAGCGAAAUUCCUUGUCGGGUAAGUUCCGACCUGCACGAAUGGCGUAACGAUGGCGGCGCUGUCUCCACCCGAGACUCAGUGAAAUUGAAAUCGCUGUGAAGAUGCAGUGUAUCCGCGGCUAGACGGAAAGACCCCGUGAACCUUUACUAUAGCUUUGCACUGGACUUUGAAUUUGCUUGUGUAGGAUAGGUGGGAGGCUUUGAAGCGUGAACGCCAGUUUGCGUGGAGCCAUCCUUGAAAUACCACCCUGGCAACUUUGAGGUUCUAACUCAGGUCCGUUAUCCGGAUCGAGGACAGUGUAUGGUGGGUAGUUUGACUGGGGCGGUCUCCUCCUAAAGAGUAACGGAGGAGUACGAAGGUGCGCUCAGACCGGUCGGAAAUCGGUCGUAGAGUAUAAAGGCAAAAGCGCGCUUGACUGCGAGACAGACACGUCGAGCAGGUACGAAAGUAGGUCUUAGUGAUCCGGUGGUUCUGUAUGGAAGGGCCAUCGCUCAACGGAUAAAAGGUACUCCGGGGAUAACAGGCUGAUACCGCCCAAGAGUUCAUAUCGACGGCGGUGUUUGGCACCUCGAUGUCGGCUCAUCACAUCCUGGGGCUGAAGCCGGUCCCAAGGGUAUGGCUGUUCGCCAUUUAAAGUGGUACGCGAGCUGGGUUUAGAACGUCGUGAGACAGUUCGGUCCCUAUCUGCCGUGGACGUUUGAGAUUUGAGAGGGGCUGCUCCUAGUACGAGAGGACCGGAGUGGACGAACCUCUGGUGUUCCGGUUGUCACGCCAGUGGCAUUGCCGGGUAGCUAUGUUCGGGAAAGAUAACCGCUGAAAGCAUCUAAGCGGGAAACUUGCCUCAAGAUGAGAUCUCACUGGAACCUUGAGUUCCCUAAAGGGCCGUCGAAGACUACGACGUUGAUAGGUUGGGUGUGUAAGCGCUGUGAGGCGUUGAGCUAACCAAUACUAAUUGCCCGUGAGGCUUGACCAUAUAACACCCAAGCAAUU
rnacentral:rRNA from 1 species